UGUGGCGCAGCCUGAUGCAGCCAUGCCGCGUGUAUGAGAAGGCCUUCGGGUUGUAAAGUACUUUCAGCGGGGAGGAAGGCGAUAAGGUUAAUAACCUUGUCGAUUGACGUUACCCGCAGAAGAAGCACCGGCUAACUCCGUGCCAGCAGCCGCGGUAAUACGGAGGGUGCAAGCGUUAAUCGGAAUUACUGGGCGUAAAGCGCACGCAGGCGGUCUGUCAAGUCGGAUGUGAAAUCCCCGGGCUCAACCUGGGAACUGCAUUCGAAACUGGCAGGCUAGAGUCUUGUAGAGGGGGGUAGAAUUCCAGGUGUAGCGGUGAAAUGCGUAGAGAUCUGGAGGAAUACCGGUGGCGAAUGCGGCCCCCUGGAACAAGACUGACGCUCAGGUGCGAAAGCGUGGGAACAAACACGAUAGACCCCCUGGUAG
rnacentral:rRNA from 1 species